rnacentral:misc_RNA from 1 species
UUAAGUUCAGCGGGUAGUCUUACCUGAUUUGAGGUCAAAAUUGUCAAAUGUUGUCCGUGAGGACGGUUAGAAGCGAGUUCAUUAACAGCCUUCCCAAUCCACGGCGUAGAUAAUUAUCACACCAAUAGAUUAGGGGACUAAACCCACUAAUACAUUUCAGAGGAGCAGACCGCUCGAGAGCGGACCUGCAAACCCCCACA